rnacentral:ncRNA from 1 species
UAAUCUUUUUAUUAUAAAUUUAUUAAAUAAUUUAUAUAUAAAUAAAAUUUUAUAAUUAUUAAAAUAUUUAAAUAAUUUUAAUUAAUUAAUUUAAUAUUUAAACUAAUUAUUUAAAUGUAAAUUUAUUAUAGAAAAUUAUUUUUAAUUAUUAAUAUAUAAAGUGCCAGCAAUUGCGGUUAUACUUUAAAUAAAAAUAAAUUUUUAUAAUUAAAUAAUUAUUUAAUUUAAAUAUAUUAUUAUAAAUUAAAAGAAAAUUUUUAUGGUGAAAUAUAAAUAAUUAAAAAAUUUUAAUUUAAAAUAUAUUAUAUUAAUUUUUAUAUAAAUACUUAAAAAAAAUUAGGAUUAGAUACCCUAUUAUUAUUAUUAAAUAUAUUUUAAUUUAAAUAUUAAAUGUUUAAUCAUUAAAAAUAAAAGAUUUGGCGGUAUUUUUUUUUUAGAGGAAUUUGCUAAUUAAUUUGAUAAUCCACGAAUGGAUAUACUUAUUUUAUAAAAUUUUUAUAUAUUGUUGUUGAAAAAUUAUAUUAUUAGAUAUUAAUUAAAAAAUUUUUUAAUUUAAAUAAUAAUAAUUCAAAUCAAAAUGUAGAUAAUAAUUAAGAUUUUUAAGUGAAUUACAAUUAAAUAUUAUUAAUGAAAAUUAAAUUUUAAAAUUUAAUAGAAAAUGGAUUUAAUUGUAAAUUUAUAUAAAAAUUUAUAAAUUGAAUUAUAUUUAAAAUAUGUACAAAUUGCCCGUCAUUUUCAUUUUAAGAUGAAAGAAGUCGUAACAAAGUAAAUGUACUGGAAAGUGUAUUUAGAUUAAU